AAAAAAUCAAGAAAUGUGCCUUACGUCAACGGACACCGCACCGCCAUCGCUUAAAAAAAAAAAGAAAGAGUGGUGCCCAAAGUUGAUAAAGUGGAAACAGAAGUCGAUAAUCACCACAAGACUCCUCAAAGGAGGAUCUGAUCAAAGAAAAAGAGCUUCAUCUUCAUUUGUAAGUUACUUUAAGGUCUACGCUUUCACACACAGACCGGGUUGUUGGGAGAAAGAUGGUUGAAGCUUCUUUUGCUUGUCGUGUUUAAAACGAGUCAAGUAAGGGUUUUUUUUUUUUUUUUUUCAUUUCAACCGAAAAGAUUUUCCUUUCUUUUACUCUCAAAAGUUCCGCAAACUAAAAGGGUUGUAAAUGAAUUUCGCACGGAGAUAGCGGAGAGGUAACAGCAAAAGUAUCAAGAGACUGAGCGGAGUAUAUACAUAUUGAGAAUUUUGAGAUCGUUGUGGUGGGUGGUUUUGGUAGUCGUGUUUCUGUUAGAAUGGUGCCGUGCCAACGAGGGUUGUCAGGAGAAAGAAAAAUUGGGUCUGCUCGAGCCUUUCCCAUUCACAGCAAUCUGAAUUUUAUAUUCUCUAAAACUUGAAGAGGAAGGAGGAAAGAUCUAAUUAUUCAGAUUGUUGCUAAUGGGAAAGGGUUGAGUGCGAUGCAGGCAGCAGACAAUAGCGUUUGAUCAAUCUUGAGUUGCUUGAUUUGGACCGUAUUCUCAUCCCUUGCGGCCUUCUCAAAUCUGAAGUAUUUCAGUAUACAAGGCAACAACCAGAAAGGACCGGUAGUUAUUAAAGGUAAGAACUAAGAAAAGCUACCCUUUUAUGUUGGCUGAGUUGGAAUGGUUUCUGUAAUUUUUUUAGUGAACGAUUUAUAAAUUUUGAGGUCCUUUUUGAGAUAUGGGAGAUGCCCUGACCUGAAGGCUUCUCCUUUAUACUGAAUUUUGGUUUCUUUUCUAUCAAUAACUAUUAGUGAUAUAGUGGAUUUAAUUGCUUCCAUUUUUUAGUGGAAAGACGUUCCAUUGGCAACUAGUAAUUGUUGCUCCUGUAUCUAUGAAGGUAUUUAAAGAAUAUGGUUUAUAUCACUUAAAAUUAAAAUCUGCUUGAAUAUAUGUAUCAUGUAUUUUUGGCUGAUCUUUUGAAAAUGGAAUGCAUCGUCAUCAAAAUGCAUCAUCAUCAAAUUUUAUUUGACUCAUGAUUGCUGUACCUAUAUCUUUUCUUCUAGAUGUUCUAGAUGAAAUAGACCUUCUACUAAGUUCAACAAGAAAAAUUGGUAUUGAUAUAUUUUUCAUACCAAUGGGUUGAGGUUGCGGAACUAAUUGUAAGUAUAAACUUUCUGUUUCUUCGUUUCUAGAAAUGGAAGGAUUUGAUAUUGAAGAAGUUGACGGCAAUGCUAAAUUUCUAUUAUUGGUACUUCAUGCAUUUUUUAAGAUAUAGAUUAUUAUUGGAGGCCAUAAUUUUUUUUGGUUUAACAAUCUUAUGGUUAACUUUCUUUGUUACUCUUUCUAAUGGUCAUCCUAUUGGAACAGAUAGAUCUCUAAGAUUCUAAGAUUCAUCAUUUUGACUUUGAUUUCUAAUUCAAAGUAUUUUGGCUCAAAUAUUUCUAUAAGUUUACUAUCUACUUUUUUUUUUGAUAGAAGUGUGAGCAUGAUUAGUAUAUUCAUUAAUUGUUAUCUAACUAACAGCUAAAUCAUUAACACUAUCUUUUAGAUAAGAGUUUAUGGUCAUAAUUUUUAGACAUAAACAUUCCUCUAUCAAAGGAUCAUUUAUAAAAAUAACAUAGUUCGGCUUUACUUUAGAUAGUGUUUGGUAUAAGGUGAUCAUUCAAAACAUUAUGGUAAUUUACACAUGAUGAUUAUAUCAUUGUGUUUGGUAAGCACUCGGUGAUCUUACGUGAUAAUGAUCUUGGAUUACUAUGAGUGAUUAGAUCAUUACCUUUGAAAGUGAUCUAAUUCUCAUACAAAAAGAUAAAAAACUUUUACCACUGAAGUGAAAUGAUGUAAAAUAAACAAUAAUCAAUUUUACGCAUUUAAUUUGUGAAUUAAAAUUGUGUUGCUUCUCAAAAUUGUAAUUAUUUUAUAUUAUAAAUUUUUAUAUUUUCAAACUAAUAUUCAUUUAACAAGUGCAAAAUAAUUUACAUAUUUUUUUACUUAUUUUAAUAUUUUAUAUACAAUAUAAAAUUUUUAUUUUCUUUUAUUAUGAGUUUAAUAGAUUUGUUUUAUUUUCUAAUUCAAAUUUUUUUACAUAAUUUAUAUUAUAAAAAUCAAUUUACCUAUCAAUAAAUAUAUAUUAAUUUAAUAAUUUAAUUAUAUUUUAUUAUAAAAUAAAUAUUACUAAUAUUUUAUAAAUUAUUAUCUUCAACAACCAUAAAAUUAUUAUUUGUGUAACUAUUACAAUAUGCAUGGUUAUUUUUGUACCUUUAAACAAAAUAAUAUUUGAUUUUUAGUAAUAUAAAAUACAAUGAUCUUUAAUUCCUAAGAGCUAAUAAUUGUUAAUCAAACAAAAUAAUUUCAAAUCAUACGUGUUAAGAUCAUCUCGGUAAUAAGACCACUUUGGUAAUUACAUUACCAUGAUGAUCUUGUAAAAAAUAGUAAACAUUACCUUAAAUCAUACUACUCUUUAUACUAAAUUAACUUGAAUUCCACCUAUUGGAGCUUUAAUAGGAUCUUGAAAUCUUUUAUCUAAUAAAACAACAAUUAAAAUAUGUAAACACCCAAUAUGUUCGGGGUCUGUUUCUUAGUUUUGUUAAUUAAUAAAAAAUAAUAAUAAUGAAAAAAAUGAAAAAAAGGUGGUUGAAUUGGUGUAAAAUUAGGAUUGAGAAGUUUGAGAUAAACGGGAAGAGAUUGAAUAGGACUGAAAGUCUAAAGGAAAUUGGGAUUCCUAUUUAGCUUUGGAGUUUGUGAUUUUAAAGCUUAUAGAUAGAUCCAUAGAUACACAGAAAAAAAACACAUAGAAAGUAUACACAGAAAAAGAAAGAAAAGAGGGAGAAAUAGAAGCAAAGAAAGAGUGUUUAGCAAUCUUAGGAAUUUUAGAAAUUUUUUUGAAAUUUUUGGCUUUGUUUUUUUGAAAAUUGUUUGAAAAUUUUUAGAAUCCGGUGAAUUUUUUUGCGAAAAUUCAAGUUUUCCGGUGAUUGUUCGAUGAGAAACCCAAUUUCUAGUGAUAUAACCCAGAAACGAUGAUUUUCCCGAUGACAUUCAAUCAGAAACGACGAUCGAAAAUUUCCUAGAAGGAGGAGCAGAGAAGAAAGAGAGAACGCGGGGAAACAUUUAAGGAAAGAAGAAAUUUUUUCCUUUUAUACGCAAGCUAAACGACGUCGUUUUGAGUCAGCACUUAAACAUGAUCUGCGCGUUUUACCAAUAUUCGACCCGACCCGAACCAGCAACCUGCAUCUCUGCUUGGGCUCCAGCCAAGUCGAAUCGAGCCUAUUUUUCGUCGAGCUGCACCUUUGAGCCGUUUUCUGUGUCUGGAGUCGAGCCAUGCCAACCCUUCAGCCAAGCCGUUUUUUAUUUUUUUUUGGUAUUUUUUUAUGUGUUUGUUUAAUUAUUUUUUUAUUUUUUUUGGUUUUUUUAUUUAUGUGUUUGUUUAUUUUUUUUAAAGAGUAUUUUUACAUGAAUAAAUUUAAAAAAUUUAAAAUAUAAAAAUUAAAAAUAUAUAUUUUUGAAAAAAAUUGAAAGUAUUAAUUUUUCUUAAAAUAAAAUUAUAAAAAAAAUUUUAAGGAAAAGUUGAAAGUAUUAAUUUUUCUUAAAAAUAAAAUUUCUAAAAUAAAAUUUUUCAAAAGCAUUUUGAGGAAAAAUUGAAAGCAUCAAUUUUUCUUGAAAUUAAAAUUUCAGAAAAAAAUAUUUUGAGGAAAAGUUGAAAGUAUAAAUUUUUCUUAAAAAUAAAAAUUAUCAAGAAAAAUUAUUUUUAGGAAAACUUGAAAGUAUCAAUUUUUCUUGUAUAAAAGCAAUGAGUUUAUUUUUAUAUAAAACAAAAAGAAAAAAAUUUAUAUCAAAAGUCAAAUCAUUAUUUUUUUUUUUCUUUCUUUCUUUGAAAAAUUUUUAAAUGUUAAAUAAUCUGACAAUAGAACCUCUGCAAGAGACAUAGUAGUUUUCUUGCAUACUCUUAAGGUGAAAUUUUUUUUUUAAUUUUCUGUUAAAAGUAUUGGAGUUAAUUAAGGAUAAUUUUUAAUAAUUAAUUACUUGAUAAUUUUUAAGACUUAUUGGAUAACACGAAAUCGAGUUAGUAUCAUCUUUUGAUGGACGUUGUGAGGGUGCUAUAAUCUUUCUCACUCGUAAUCGAAUUCCCGAACUCUUUUUUGGUUAAUAGAUUUGAAUCUAUUCUUUUAGAGAUCCUUAAGCUUAGGUGUUCUUUGAAAAGAUAGAUUCUUUAGGUGGUCAAUCGUACCUAAAUGAAAAAGAUUAGUGAUGACUCCUCAAGUCAAUGUCUAGCGAUAGAUCCUCAGAUCUAGACAUUAUGACAGUUUGGUGACUCCACUGGAGACUGUCGAGAGUCAGAUCAGUAAAUAAAUUUGUGUUAUCCAAAAGCCUAAUAAAAUUGAACAUUUUUGUAUAUAUUUUUUUAUUCAUUCAUUUUAUUUAUUUACUUCAUUGAUUUUGUCAUUCAUAUGCAUACGCAUAACAUGAGCUCUAUACUCGAACUUCAUCCCUCUAUGAGGUAUUAAAGUACCUAUUGCUUUUGUGAGAUUUUAAUACCUCCGUAAUGGCUAGCAAAAUACUCCCACUCAAAUUGAACAUUUUCUGCUUGUAGCCUAUAAUGGGUGAGGAUUGUGGUGCCUUACUAGUCUGUAAUAGACGAUGAUGUAAGGAGCAAUUUGAGAACCUUUAGACUUUAACCUUAAACCACAUAUAGUGGAUCUUAGAAAUGCCUAACCUAUAGAUAGAGCAAUUUUUUUUUUUUAGAAUUGACCAAAAGCAUAAGAUUCAUUCUUCUUAUUAUGUGUGACAUUUUAAUUUAUUUAGUUAUUUAUUUAUUUAUUCCUCUUUAUUUGAUGUACUAACAUCUUCUCUUAUUCAUGUUUGUAUGAUCCAUACUCAUAUCAUAAAGUUGCAUAAAGAACAUUUGUCUAAAAGAUGAUUUUCAACGAGUUUUUCAUGGACUCCACAGAACGACUAGUUUGCUUUUCGUCUAUAUUAGCUCAUUGUGAGUCACCCAACAAAAUAAAGGUCCAGUCAAAAAAGAUUCAACUAAAGAAGGGGGAUUUACCAAUCGGUCAUGUUUCUACCUUGUCUCAAAAGACAUCUGUCAUCCUCAAACAAAAUAAUUUAGAAGAUCUAAUUGAUAUAUAGAAAAAUAUGAGUCCAUCAAGACAAGAGAAGUUUUGUCAGAGACAUAGGCAUAUAGCACAUUUUUUUACAGUAAAUGUUGAUAAUCAACUAAUUAGAGCUACAAUAUAAUUUUGGGAUCUUGCAUACAAAUGUUUCAUCUUCAAUGAAGUUGAUAUGAUACCAAUCAUUGAAGAAUAUUCAACUUUGUUAGGUCUACACCUCAAGACUUCUGACAAGAUAUAUGUCAAAAAACAUAAAUCAGGGUUUCGUAAGAAUUCGGCCCAUCUUAUGGGGAUAGACAAAGAGAUUGUGGAUUCUCAUGCAAAGAAAAAACAAGAACAAGCUUGCCUACCUUAGAAGUUCUUUCAUGAUUUCCUAUUGCAACAUGCCUACGAAGAACGAGGGUUAGAUGUAUUUGCCUUAGCCAUAUACGGAUUGAUGAUUUUUUAAAGGUUUUGGGUUAUAUUGAAAUAGCAGUGAUUGACUUCUUUGAAAGUGUGAUCAAUGGCUAUAACCCUUCAACGAUAAUAUUAGCAGACACUGUCAAAUUUUUGAGUUAUUAUUAUCGGAAUGGAAGAUAUCUUAUAGGCUGCAUACAAUUAUUGUACUUUUGGAUGAAAAGUCACUUCGAAUGAAGAAAAUGUGUUUUCUCGAAGCUUUAUGUCAGUAAUCAAGCUUCGAUCAAGGAAUUCUACGAAAGUGGGUGGUCAGAAUAAAAGUCUAAAAAAGAGUGGAUAGCUUUCUUACAAAAAUUGACAAGUGCUGAGGUAAGAUGGCUAGUCUCGUGGAUGAAUCAUGAACCUAUGCUAUAUUAAUGUAGAGAUAACACUGUGGUCCCACUUCUGAGUUUAUGAGGAGCAACAAGUUAUACGUCACUUUUAGUGAAAAGGUAGUUUGGGGCAGAACAGUUCAUUUUCAUGACGCAUAAGCUUCAUCAAUCAGAUUUUUCUUACAUUGAGCCAAAAGCAUUUUAAAAGAUGAAUGAGGUGAUUAAAGUAUGAAAAAACUCUCGUAGAGUGAGUCUUGAAUUGUUCACUGAUAAGGUCACUCAGGGGUACUUAGUUUGGAGAGUAAAACGAAUACAGAAAAUGGUAUUAACUUAUGAAAGCUUUUAACUGCUAACAAGAGGAAAGCUUGAAGAGACACCAUUAGAAUUGAAACUUACGACAAAAAAAUUUGAGUGCCAAAAGGAUAAGUUAAAGUAAAAAAUCCAGAAGCUUCAAAAGGAGAAGGAUUAAUGGAAAGAUAGAGCUAAAAAGCAUGAAGUCAAAGUUUACAAGAUUGCUAGGGAACGUGACACAACUGUCAAAGACUUAGCGGAGCUACACCAUGAACAUAAGAGGUUAUGUGUGAAGGUACAAACCAAAGAUAUAACAAUCACUGAGCUGAUAGAUGAAAAUGAGCGAUUGAAGCAAGAAUAUGCUGAAUUAGAGAAAGAAAAUACCCAAGUACAAACAAAAAAUAACAUGUUGAAUAGUUACUUUAGUAGAUUGAGAAAAAGGUUGAAUGAACAAGAAGACUAUAUUGCUGCAUUGGUUAGAGAGUAUAGAGAGUUAUCAUACCAAGUUUGAUGUGGUAAAAAAGAAAACCUGAGAAGACAGAAGUAUAUUGAACACUUAACAACUCAAAUUUAUAAAGGGGUAUGUAACGCAAGAGAAAUGGUAAAAGAGGCAGAGGCAUUGAAACAAGUGGUGGCCCCAGUAGGAGAACAUAGGCAACCUCUCUUGAAUUUCAUCGAAGAAGUCAAAGAUCAGUAUGAGCAGAUCAAACGAUUUUAUAGUUACAACUCUAGGAUGAUAAAUUUUAUGUAAAUGAAAGUUCUUUAAAUAAAUAAAAUCUUUUGGUUGAACACUGUCUUAAGGCAAAUGUUCUUUUCAUGCAUGCAUUUUCAUUCAUUAUAUUCAACAAAAUAACCAUGAGAUAGUUGUAUAAACUUGCUAAUUUUAAGAUAUGAUAUUCAAGGUUAAGAAUGAGUAUGAGGAAAAGAUUGAGAAUGAGUUGAGUAGGAUUUUGGAUGCUCUCAACAAGUUAAAUAAGAAAAAAAAGGAUAGAAGAGAACACAAGCCAACAGGAUCCUCCAUCACAAGAAGUGGUCGACCCUCUAUCUCCUUCAGGUUUUGGUCUACAAUAAGCUCAGUCCACAUAUGAUAUACCGUCACAGCAGUUCACAUAUCCUGUAUAUCUUGAAAUGUCAUCAACUUUAAACUCAGGACAUUACCAUAGCUAUGUAAAUUCGAUCUUUACUGAAAAGGCAAUAGAACCAAUCCAAGUUCCUGAUUUAGAUGACUUGAAAGAAAAAGAGAAAGAAAAGAUAAAGGUGGUGGAAUCUCAAGAAGAUUCGAAGAUUAGUAUGCUUGAACAAAGGUUACGGGCUGUGGAAGGAAUUAGGUUUUAUGGUUCUGUCGAUGCUACUGGGUUUUGCUUAGUCUCAGAUGUGGUUAUUUCACCAAAGUUUAAAGUACCAAAAUUUGAGAAAUAUCAUGGUACAAAGUACCCAAAGACUCAUAUCACCAUGUACUGUCGGAAGAUGACAGCCUAUGCCUAUAAUGAAAAACUAUUAAUACAUAUUUUUUAAGAUAAUCUAACGGGCUCCGCUACUAGGUGGUAUGUUCAGCUAGACAGAACUUGCAUCCGUUCAUGGGAUGAUAUGGCCCAUGAUUUUAUCAGUCAAUAUCAACAUAUUAUGGAUCUGGCUUAUGAUCAUUUGUCCUUACAGAACUUAGAGAAAAACACAAAUGACUCUUUCAAGAAAUACGCCCAGAAGUGGAGGGAUGUAGCUUUUCAAAUACAAUCUCCUUUAACUGAAAAGAAAAUUAUAGUGUUGUUCGUUAGUACUCUGAAAUCUCUCUUGUAUGAAAAGAUGAUAGGAAAUGCAAUCAAAAAUUUUAUCGACAUGGUGAUUUCAGAAGAAAUUAUUGAGAGUGCCAUCAAGAAUGGUAAGUUAAAAGGAGGGGAGGCAUUUACGAAAAGAGCACCAAAGAAGAAUAAGACUGAAGCUCAAGCUGUGAGCUUUGAUAGGCAACAAUUCAGGGGUUAUCAACCCUACCCACCAUAAGGAUACCUUCCAUACUAUCCUGUUGUAAAAAAUGCCUCAUCCUACCCAUACCAGUUAGCUCCACAACCACUUUAUUCAUCCAUAUACCAGCCUAUUUUUAGCCUCCAAUCUCUCACAUACAACCUUAACAUUCAAACUCCUGUAAGACCCCAAAUUCGUCCUGUUAGCCUGGUAAGUGGUUCACUAGAGCAACAAAUUGCUCGAGAAAAACUCAUAUUUAAUCUAAUUUUCAUGACUUAUAUAGAGUUAUAUUGAGAGCUUUAUAACAGCCACUUGAUUGCCUCUAACCGUGUGGAGCUGCUCUAAGCCACCCUAUUCUAAGUAGUAUGAUCUUACAACUCACUGUGACUACCACUAUAAAAUUGCUGACCAUUCCACUGAAAAAUUGUAUUACUCUAAAGCAUAAGGUGCACGGUUAAUCAAGAAUGAAAUGGUAAGUUUUGAUCAAAGAAGAGCAAUAACACCUAAUGUUAGUGGUAAUCCAUUGCCUAAUCACAAUGUUAACGCUUUGAAUGAGAAUCAAGAACACGUUAAUUCAAAAAGGCAUGAAGAGCUACAAUGAAUCAAGGGCAAGAUGCUAAUAAAGAUCUUUCACUUGAUUGCAUAGGGACACAAUUUUAGAGAAUGAAGAUAAGGCUGGUUAAAAGUUUCUUGUCAUUUUAGGAUUUUUUCUAGAGUAAUGUUAGAAUUUCUUUUAUGCAAUAGGAUUUCAUUUGUUAUCAUUUUAAUAAAAGGUAAGUUAAUGCAUUUCAUUAUAUUUUCUCUUUCAUUCAACCAUUAUUCCAUACUUUGCUACCUUUCAUAACUUUUAUUCCCAUUAUUGAAUUCUAAAUGAUGAAUGUUUAAUAAUGAUAUCAAUAAUUUUGAGAUUUAAUUUUGAGUACUCAUUCACAUUAAUCUAUGGAGAUUAUUUAAGCAAAAAAAGUCAGCUGCUAGCAGAUAUGAAAUAGAUAUAUCUUAAAGAUAUAUAGUUUGUUAUAAAGAUCCAUAAGCUUAUUUUUAUUUAAUGGAUGAUCUUCAAGAAAAGCAUUCACAUUUGAGAGAAAAAAUAGUCAUCUUUCUUUUACCAUUUGAAAAAUCAUUCAUUGCUACCUCUUUGAGCUUAUUAUGAUUUUUUUUUUAAAAAAAUCUUAAACAAGGAUCACUCUUUACACUGGGGGUAUUUUUUUUAUUUAAAAAAAAAAGACAAAAGAUCGUAAAAGGUCUCAAAGAGAGAAAGAAAAGCAAAAUGAAGGAAAGAGAAAAAAAAUGAAUGCCACACAUGAUUUAGGAUAAAGUAAUGAUAAUUUUUUUGUAAAGAAUGAGAUGGAAAAGAAAAAAGUAGUGAAGUGAUGUCAAGCUGCAUCAAAUGAGGAUCCUUUGAUUUUAAACCUUUUAAACAGGUUUUGAGCUUAUUUUUAUCCAUUUCUUUCAUGACCUCUCACCAUGGCCUAUAUUAUAACUUUUAAAAGUUCAUUUGGAUCAAAUGUGAAUGUUCGAAUUGAAUGGUCAUAUGUUGGGCUAAGGCAUGCUCAUGAUGGAACUACGGAAUCAUGCUUGGUUACUCUAAAGAUUGAUGUAAAAGAGAUAUCAAUAAUGGGUGAAAAAAAAUAAAAAAAAAGAAAAAAUGGAAAGAAGAGAAAAUGGAGACCCGAAAGGGCGAUUUGAGUAGAAAAACCUUAGUUGAGAGUUGAACAAACGAUUCACAUGGAUGAAAUACUAAAGACAUAUGAAGAUCCCUCAAAGCUGGGGCGAAGUUUGAUAAGCUCAAAAUGAUUUCGAUAGUCAAUUGAAUGAGUUUUUGAAAAAAAAUCAUGAAUUAAUGUUCAGAAUUGUCUGGAUAUUCAUUGUUUGGAUAUACCAUUCAUUCCAAUGACAUGUAUCCAAUUUGCUUAUUCCUUAUUCAUUUUGCACCAAACCUGUCUUUCAUUGAUUACCUUUCUCUCAAAUCACCCCGUGUUCCCUUAUUGUUACAUCCUUAGAAUAAAUAAAAAAAUAUAUAAGUGCAUUAUAUUUGUCAUGAUUUGAAAUGAUGAUGAAUAAAUGAUAAUGUGCUUAAAAGAUUUUUGUAUUCCUUUGAGAAGAAAUCCAGAAUGAUAAGAUGAAUUAAGAAGACACAUGGUGUGACCAAAUGGGGAAUAUGAUGAUGGAUUGAUCAACAAAAUGAAGAUGAGGUAAAUUUUUUUUUUAAAAAAAGUGAUAUGUCCAAGUAAUGAAUAUGGGGAUGAAUUGAUCGACAUAACCUGUGAGUUGUGAUGAAAAAGUAUAGGACAAUGAGUAAAACUUGUGCUGAAAAGCCCAUGAAUAAUGAUUAAGUGAUAAUGAUGAAAUUUGCUCUGAAAUAUUGAUAAGCCCAUGAACGAUGAUCAAGUGAUGAAAGAUAAAAUUUGUAUUAAGAAGCUUAUGAGCGAUGACCAAGUGAUAGAAGAUAAAAUUUAUUCUAAGAUGGCUAGUGCUAAGAAGCUCAAAAUGAUGGAGUCUUAACAGUCAUAUUACCACAGUUAUUUAGGAUUUCAUGACAUUAUUGACGUCCGCAUUACAUGCAUCAUGUAAGCAUCAUUGUUUAAAUAGUACAUGCACAUAAUUUGAUAAAUUAAAACUUUGUUUGGACAUGCAUGGCAUUGUGAGAAUUUAGGUUGUUGCAUUUGCAUCAUUAAGAAGGCAUUUGCAUUUUUUAUCAUGACAUUUAUUGUAUGCAUAAUUUUGAGUCACUUGAAAAAGAAAUUGGGAAUCUUUUGAAUUUUUGAGUUCUCAAAUGAGAAUAUUUGAAUUUCAAAUAAGAAUUUUGAGGUGUGAAACCUAAAAUUUAUCGAAUGUGAAUCUUCGAACUUAAAUGAAAAUCUUUAAGUUUCGAAUGAGAAUUUUUAUAGUGUGAAACCCUAAAAUUUGUCAAAUGUGAGCCUUUAGACUCGAAUGAGAAGCUUUGAAAUUUUUGGAUGUGAAUCUCCAAAAUUCAAAUGAGAGUCUUUAAAUGUUGGAUGCGAAUCUUGUAAUUUACAAAUACGAAUCUUGAGAUUUUGCAAAUUUGAAUCCUUAUGAAACUGAAAUUUUGAUAAUCAAAUUUCAGUGAAUUCUUACAAAGUUGAAAGGUUAUUGCGAAUUUGAAUCUUUGACUUUCAAACUUAAAUUGUGAAUCUUUGAGUUUUUCAUUUCAAAUUUCAUCAGAUCUGAUUUAUGACUCUGCUAGACAUGAUCGUCAAGGAGCAAUUUAUUUUUCAAAGUUGUGGCGCCUCUAUUUAGAUGAGCAAUUUAUUUUUCAAAAUUAUGGUAUCUCUGUUUAGAGGAGUAGUUUAUUUUUCAAAAGUUGUGGUCCCUCUGUUUAGAGGAGCAUUUUAUUUUUCAAAGUUGUGGUUAACUCUAUUUAGAGGAGCAUUUUAUUUUUCAAAAUUGUGGUUGCCUCUAUUUAGAGGAUAAUUUUAUUUUUCAAAGUUGUGGUGCCUCUGUUUAUAAGAGCUUUAUUUAUUUUUUUAAAGUUGUUGAGCCUCUUAUUAGAAAAUCUUUGUUCAUUUUUCAAAAGUCGUUGAGCUUUUGUUUAGAGGAGCUUUGUUUAUUUUUCAAAAGUUGUUGAGCCUCUAUUUAGAAGAGUUUUGUUCACUCUAAAAAAAAAAAGAAAGGGGUUGUGAACCUCUGCUUAGGGUGUUUCAAGUGUUAAAAAAAAGGGAAUGUGUUGGCAUAAGUGAGGUGUCUAAAUCUUUGUACAAUUUUUGUUGCAUAGAAAAUACGCAAAGAGGGGCAACUGUAGACACCUAAUAUGUCCGAGGUCUAUUUUUUGGUUUUGUUAAUUAAUUAAAAAUUAAUAAAAAUGAAAAAAUAGAAAAAAAUGGUUGAAUUAGUGUAAAACUUGGAUUGAAGAGUUUGAGAUAAACUAAAAGAGAUUGAACAAGACUGAAAGUCCAAAGAAAAUUGGGAUUCCUAUUUAGCUUUGGAGUCUGUGGUUUUAAAGCUUAUAAAUAGAUCCAUAGAUACAUAAAAAAAAAAAACAUAGAAAGUAUACAUAGAAAAAGAAAGAAAAGAGGGAGAAACAUAAGCAAAGAAAGAGUGUUUAGCAAUCUUAAGAAUUUAAAAAAAUUUUGGCUUUGUUUUUCUGGAACUUUUCUGAAAUUUUUCAAAAUUCGAUGAAUUUUCUGGUGAAAAAUCAAGUUUUUCGGUGAUUGUUCUGCAAGAAACCUAGUUUUUGGCGAUAUAACCCAGAAAUUGAUGAUUUUUUUGACAACAUUCAACCUGGAAUGACGGUCAAAAAUCACCUGGAGAGAGAAAGAGCAGAGAAGGGAGAGAGAACGUAGGGAAACAUUUGAAAAGAGAAGAAAAUUUUUCCUUUUAUACGUAAGCUAAACGACGUCAUUUUGAAUCAGCAUUUAAACAGGAUCCGCACGUUUUGCUAAGAUUCGACCCGACUCGUAACGCGACUCGAACCAGCAACUAGCAUCCCUGCCUGGGCUCUAGUCGAGCUGAAUCGAUUUCUCGUUAAGCCGCACCUUUGAGCCAUUUUCUGUGUCUGGAGCCGAAUCGUACCAACCCUCCAGUCGAGCCGUUUUCAAUUUUUUUGUUUUAUUUUUUAUGUGUUUGUUUAUUUAUUUUUUUGGUUUUUUUAUUUAUGUGUUUGUUUAUUUUUUUAAACAGUUUUUUUGCAUGAAUAAAUUAAAAAAAUUAAAAAUAUAAAAAUUAAAAAAAUAUUUUUGAGAAAAAAUUAGAAAUACUAAUUUGUUUUAAAAUAAAAUUAUAAAAAAAAUAUUUUAAGGAAAAGUUAAAAGUAUCAAUUUUUCUUAAAAAUAAAAUUUCUAAAAUAAAAUUUUUCGAAAGCAUUUUGAGAAAAAGUUGAAAGUAUCAAUUUUUCUUGAAAUUAAAAUUUCAAAAAAAAAAAACAUUUUGAAGAAAAGUUAGAAGUAUCAAUUUUUUUAAAAAAUAAAAAUUAUUAAGAAAAAUUUUUUUUAAAAAAAGUUGAAAGUAUCAAUUUUGUUUUGUAUAAAAGCAAUGAGUUUAUUUUUAUAUAAAACAAAAAGAAAAAGAUUUAUAUCAAAAAUUGAAUCAUUAUUUUUUUUCUUUCUUUCUUUGGAAAAUUUUUUAAUGUUAAAUAAUCCAACGAUGAAGCCUCUGCAAGAGAAACAGUAGUUUUCUUGUAUACUCUUAAGGUGAGGAAAUUUUCUUAAUUUUUUAUCAAAAGUAUUGGAGGUAAUUAAAGAUAAUUUCUAAUAAUUAAUUACUUGAUAAUUUUUAAGGCUUAUUGGAUAACACGAAAUCGAGCUGGUACCAUCUUUCGAUGGGCGUUGUGAGGGUGCUAUAACCUUCCUCACUCAUAAGCGAACUCUCGAAUUCUGUUUUGGUUAAUAGGUCCGAACCUAUUUUUUUAGCGACCCUUAAGCUUAGGUGUUCCUUGAAAUGAUAGAUUUUUUAGGUGGCUUAUUGCACCUAAACAAAAAAGAUUGGUGGUGACUUCUCAAGUCAAUGUCUAACGAUAGAUCUCCAGAUCUAGACGUUAUGACAAAACAAUUAAAACAAGAUAGAAACAAAGAAUGAAAGAUAAAAGGAUAGAUACAAGAAAAGAGAAAGGAAUGAGAGAGUUGUGAGGAAUGAUAGAGUUGAGAGGACUAAUGCCUCUUUUUUACAAGAAAAACUAUAUUUAUAGACAAUUUUUUUUUAUAGCUGCUUGCAUCAUAUCCUUUCUAAUCUCUUUAGAAUUUGCUUUUUACAUCUUUAUUUACUAUUGCUUGCAAGAAGCUUUUCGUUUCUAAUAACUAACAUUUUCUUUCUACUUUUUAUAGUUUAGCCACACGCUUCUUAUCUUUAGAGAAUUUGUUUUCCAAAAAAGAUCUAGUUUGUCUAGCUCAUAAAUGGUCCUGUUUGUCAAGUCUUUUCAUCAUUCUUGAAUGUUAUCCAAGUUUAAGCCUUCUCCAUCUCAUGGUUAAAAGAUGCUGGAGAGUUAGUGGCUAUUUUAUUUGUCAUAACGUCUAGAUCCGAGGAUCUAUCGCUAGACAUUGACUUUUAGGGAGUCGCCAUCAAUCUUUUUUAUCUAGGUGCGAUUGGCCACCUAAAGAAUCUGUCCUUUCAGGGAACACCUAAGUUUAAGGGUCCCUAAAAGAAUAGGUUCAGAUCUACAAACCAGAACAAGGUUCGGGAGUUCGGUUACGUGUGAGAAAGGUUAUAGCACCCUCACAACGCCCAUCAAAAGAUGGUACCAGCUUAAAUUUUUGUUAUCCAAAAGCCUUAAAAUUUUACCAAGUAAUUAAUUAUUGAAAAUUAUUCUCAAUUGACUCUAAUACUUUUAGCAAAAAAUUAAGAAAAUUCCCUCACCUCAGAGUAUGCAACAAAAACUACUGUUUCACUUGCAGAGGCUCCGUCGUCGGAUUAGUUAAAGAAAAAUCAAAAUAAAAAAUCAAAAUAGAAAGGAAUGAAAGAAUGAUUUUUUUUUUAGGGAAAAUUGAUACUUUCAACUUUCCCCACAAACAUUUUUUUUUGAAAAUUUAUUUUAAGAAAAAUUGAUACUUUCAACUUUUUCUCAAAAAUAUUUUUUUGGAAAUUUAUUUUUAAGGAAAAUUGAUACUUUCAACUUUUUCUCAAAAAUAUUUUUUUUGAAACUUUGAUUUCCAAGGAAAAUUGAUACUUUCAACUUUUUCCUAAAAAUAUUUUUCGAAAAUUUUGAUUUUCAAGGAAAAUUGAUACUUUCAAUUUUUCCCUAAAAAUAUUUUUUUUUGGAAAUUUUGAUUUUUAUUUAAAGAAAAUAGAAUAAUAAAAUAAAAAAAAUGAAAGUUAAAAAUAAAAAUAAAAAUAAAAUAAAGAUAAAAAGAAUAUUAAAUAAACCUAAUCUAAUAAAUAAAUAAAAUAAAAAACAAAUAAACAAAUAAAUGAAAAAAAAAAACCUGGAGCGGCUCGGAUCGAGGCUCGGCUCGGCUCGACUCAAAGAAGAGAAAACGACUAGGGAGAGCGGCUUGAAAGCUCGGCUCGGCUCGGCUCGGCUCAGCUUGGAGGAGGGGUAGCACGCGCGGAUCCUCUGGUUACUUAAGGCCAAAACGACGUCAUUUUGGGAGGGUAUAAAAGGCAAUCCCCUUCGUUUUUCGACAGAACGCUCCUCCCUUCUCUCUCUCUUCUUCCCUUUUCCUCUCUCUUCUCUCUAAAAGCUGAAGAACACCGGUGCCGAAUUCUGGAAAAUGUCACCGAAAUCUGGAAAUUUCACCGGAAGUUGGUCGAAAUAUCAUCGAUUUCUGGGAUUCUUCACCGAAAACUGGGUAGGUCGCUGGAAACUUCAAUGUUCGCCGAAAUUAUUGUCGAAAAAUUUAAAUUUCGUCAGAAUUUUCGCCGGAAUCUGGAAAUUUCGCAGAAAAAUUUUUCGCCAAAAAUUUCUAAAAAGUUUUUCUCACUCCCAGAACGCUCCUAAACUUUUCCUAGCUUCCUAUACGCCUCUUUUUCUCUCAAAUCAGUAGCUUUGCUUACUAUUUUCUCUCUUUUUUUUGAAUGUACCAAUCUGUUCCAGAGGGGGUCCCUUUUAUAGGGAUUGAUCAGGAGUUUCUGAUCAAUCCCAAUUCCUCUUUGGAUGGGGAUUCAAUCUCUGAAUCCAAUUGGACUCUUUUGAUUGAAUCCCCAUUCCUAGUAGGAUUCUUCAUCUUUUAAUCCCAGCCAUCCAAAAAAGAAAAAAAAAAAAAUAAUAGUAAAAAUAUCAGAUACGGAUCAAGAAAAGAGAGAAAAAAAGAUUAUUAACAGAUAAUUAGGGACACAAUAAGAUAAACCAACCAAAAAAAAAUAUUACAAGAAAAAAAAAGAAAAUAAUUAUAAUAUAAUAAUAAAUAUAUAAUUAUAUAAAUAUAAUACAUAUAAAUAUUAACAGAGAAAUAAAUAAAUAAAUAAAUAAAUAAAUAAAGAUAUACAUAUAUUAAUAUAUAAUAAUAAUAAUGAAUAAUAAAAUAUGUAAAAUACAAAAGAAAAAAAAAUACAGGAUAAAAUUGAAUUGGGCCUUACCCUUUUGGGCCAGGCCUAAUUGAUCUGGGCCUGGACCUAAUUGGGUGUCUACAACUGUCCCUCUUUGCACAUUUUUUGUGAAACAAAAAUUGUGCAAAGACGUAGACACCCAAUCAAGACUCAACUCAACAUUGUCAUUUUUGUUUUUUUUUGUUUUUUCGUGUUUUUUUUUGGUUUUUUUUGUUUUGCUUUUUGUUCUUUUUUUUGUUUUUUUUUUAUUUUUUUGUUUUUUUUUUUUACCAAAGCUCCUCUAAACAGAGGCUCAACGACUUUGAGAAACAUAAAUUGCUCCUCUAAAUAGAGGCACCACGACUUGAAAAAAUAAAUUGCUCCUCUAAACAGAGGCACCACGACUUUGAAAAGUAAAUUGCUCCUCUAAACAGAGGCACCACGACUUUGAAAAUUAAAUUGCUCUGUGCUCCUCUAAACAGAGGCACCACGACUUUGAAAAUUAAAUUGCUCCUCUAAACAGAGGCACCACGACUUUUGAAAAGUAAAUUGCUCCUCUAAACAGAGGCACCACGACUUUGGAAAGUAAAUUGCUCCUCUAAACAGAGGCAACGGAACUUUGAAAAAAUAAAUUGCUCCUCUAAACAGAGGCACCACGACUUUGAAAAGUAAAUUGCUCCUCUAAACAGAGGCAACGAAACUUUGAAAAAAUAAAUUGCUCCUCUAAACAGAGGCACCACGACUUUGGAAAGUAAAUUACUCCUCUAAACAGAGGCAUCACGACUUUUGAAAAGUAAAUUGCUCCUCUAAACAGAGGCACCACGACUUUGAAAAGUAAACUGCUCUUUGACAAUCAUGUCCAAAGGAGUUGAGAAUUGUGUUUGAAGGAAUUUCAGGAGAUUAUGCCCAAAGGUCUUAUAAAUCGAUCCUGAUACCAAAAGACAUCCUAUUUCAAGGAUUAGGAACUUACCUGACAAGUUUCUUCUCCAUCUUGCAAAAUAUCUUCAUAUUUGUCUUCUCCAUAUAGGAUGUUGAAACACCCCUGCUUCUUGAAUUUAUACACUAUACUUUCCUGAAAAUAGUGUAUGCUAUGCAAUGUGCAUGAUUUUCAAUGCAUGCUAUGCAAAUGUUGGCCAAUUAAUUCCUGUUCAAUGUAUGGUACUCAAGUUUCUCAAGCUCUUUUUUUCUUUCUUGGGUGUCAAGCCCUUUGAUUCCUCAAGGAUCCAAUUGUACUGCUCUUCUAAGAUCAAACCAGUGUAGCUUUCAAUUGUCCUUUCCACUCACAUUCUUUCCUUGUUCAGUUUCUCAAUACUUUGGAAUAAGCUUCAUCAAUCGAUCAUCCCUUGACCAUCAUUCAAUGAAUUUCUCAGCACUAGCAAAUUUCAAAACAAAUUUCAUCCACCAUCACUGGGUCCUUGUCUCAGCAUCAACCAUUCCAAAACAAACUCUGUCCACUGAUUGUUCAAUCAUAACUUGCAAGUCAUAUCGACCAAUUCAUCUUUGUACUCAUCACUUUUCAAGAUUUGCCCCAUUAUAUUUUUCAUUUGAUCACAUCAUAUAUCCUUCCAAAUCAUCUCUUUUAGGUCUCUACCAUUUUGUCAACACCAUCAUCUUAGAUUUCUUUUCAAAUGAAUACAAGACUCUUUUAAGCACAUAUUCAUUCAUUCAUUAUCAUUUCAAAUCUUGACAAGUACAAUGCAAUCAAGCAUUUUCUCAAUUCAUUCUAAGGGUGUAACAAUAAGAGAACAGAAGGUGAACUAUGACAAAAAUAAUCAAUGAAGAUCUAUUUUGGUACAGAAUAAAUGGGAAAAGAAAUGUCAUUGGGAUGGAUGGUAUGUCUAAAUGAUGAAUAUUCAGACAAUUUUUAACAUUAAUCUGGGAUUCUUUUUCAAAAACUCAUUCCAUUUACUGUUGAAGUCAACUUGAGCUUGGCGAACUUUGCCCUAGUCUUUGAGGGAUCUUUAGAUGUCUUUGAUCUUCCAUUCAUGUGAGCCAUUUGACCUGAAUCUUUUUCUAUCAACCUUUUGAAUCUCUUUUUUAUUUUUUCAUUUUCUCAUUUUUUCUCAUUUUUUUUCUCUUUUCUCAUUUUUCAUCCAUUGUUGAUAUCUUUCAUGUAGCAUGAUUCCAUUGCUUCAUCAUGAGCAUGUUUUUGCUCAACCUAUGAUCAUUCAAGUUGAGUAUUCACAUUUGAUCCAAAUGGACUUUUCAAGGUUGUAAUGUAGGCCAAGGUGAAGGGUCAUAAAAAAAGGAUAUAAUAGGCUCAAAACAUGUAUUAAAAAGGUUCAAAAUCGAAGGAUCAUUUGAUGCAGCUUGACAUUUUGCCCCCACAUCAUUUCACUACUUUUUUCUUUCUUCACACAAAGGAUUCUCAUUACUUUGCCCUAAGUCAUGUGUGGCAUUUUUUUUAUUUUUUUUCCUUUUUUUUUCUUGAGACCUUUUGUGAAAAAAAAAAUUUUUUUUUCAAAAAUUGCCUCCUAGUGUAGAGGGUGAUCCUUGGUUAGGGUUCUUCAGAAAAAAAAAAUCAUAACAGGCUCAAAGGGGUAGCAAUAAAUGGUUUUUCGAAUGGUAAAAGAAAGAUGGCCAUUUUUCAUCUCAAUUGUGAAUACCUUUCUUAAACAUCAUCUAUUGAACAAAGCUCAUGAAUCUGUAUAAAAGAUUGCACAUCUUCAAGACAUAUCUAUUUCACCUCCGAUAACAGCUUAUUUUUUGCUCAAAUCAUCUUCUCAUAUUAAUGUGGAUGGGUUCUUAAAAUUAAAUCUCAGAAUUAAAAUUUAAGAAUGAGAAUGUGAAGUUAUGGAAGGUAACAGGGCAUGGAAUAAUGGUCAAGUGAAAGAAAAAAAUGUAAUGAAAUACAUUGACUUACCUUUAUUAAGAUGAUAACAAGUGAAGUGAUAUUGUAGAAAAGAAAUCCUAACAUUACUUGAAAAGAAAUCUUAAAAUGAUAAAAAAACUUCAACCAGCCUUAUCUCUAUUCUAAAAAAUUAUCCCCCUAUAUGAUCAAGUGAAAAAUCUCUAUUGACAUCUUGCCCCUCAAUUCAUUGUGACUCUCCGGACCCUUUCUGUUCUUGACUUUCACUCAGAGUGCUAACAUUAGAUGUUGUUGCUUUUCCUUGAUCAAAACUUACCAUUCCAUCAUUGAUCAACCGUUGCACCUUAUAUUUUAAAGCAGUACAAUUUUCAGUAGAAUGGACAGUAAUUCCAUAGUGGUAGUUGCAGUGAGCUGUAGGAUCAUACCACUUUGGAUAGGGUGGUUUAAGCGGUUUCACAUGGCUGGGGGCAAUCAAAUGGCUAUUAUAGAGUUCUCGAUAUAACUCUGUAUAAGUCAUAAGAAUUUGAUUAAAUACAAGUUUUUCUCGAGUAGUCCAUUGUUCUCGUGAGCCACUUGCUGGGUUAAUAGGGCGAAUUUGGGUUCUUACAGGAGCUUGAAUGUUGAGGCGGUAAGUGGAUGAAUAAGAUGGUUGUGAAGCUAGCUGGUAUGGGUAGGAUAAGGUAUUAUUCACAGCAGGAUAGUAUGGAGAGUAACCUUGGGAUAGAUAGGGUUGAUAACCCCUGAAUUGUUGUCUAUCAAAGCUCACAGCUUGAGCUUCAGUUUUUUUUUUUUUUUUUAUGUCUUUCUUUGGUUUUUCUCCUCCUUUCUCAACCUUCCCAUUUUUAUGGCACCUUCAGAUAAUUUCUCCAGAGAUACCAUAUCAACAAAAUUCUUUUGAUUCCCUAUCAUUUUUUCAUAAUAGGGAAGCUUAAAGUGCUAACAAACAACACUGUGGUCUCUUUCUCUGUCGAGUGGAGUUGUACCUGGAAGCAUAUCCCUCCAUCUCUGGGCAUUACCUCUUUAAAAGACUCGUCUGAAUUUUUCUCCAAGAUUUUGCAAAGACAAACGAUCAGGAGCCAAAUCAAGAAUGUUCGAUAUUGGGCUGAUGAAAGUCAUGAGCCAUAUCGCUCCAGCGAGCGAAUGUGGUUCGUAUCCAAACUGAACCAUACCAACUGCAGCAGAAUCAUAAGGACUAUCCUGGAAAGACAUGCAUCAAGAAUUUUUCAUCAUGUGUAUGAGUUGCCAUCUUCCUGCAAUACAUGGUGAUGUGGGUUUUAGGGCACUUUAUACCGUCAUAUUUUUUAAAUUUCGGUACUUUAAACUUAUAGGGGAUAACCACAUCAGGAACUAGGCAGAGCCCAGCAGCAUCAACUGACCCAUAAAAGCUAAAUCCUUCUACAGCCUGUAGCCUCUGCUCUAGCAUGCUAAUCUUGAAACUUUCCUCAGCCUCUACUCUCAUCUUUUCCUUCUUCUUCUCUUUAAAUCAUCUAGAUCAAAAAUUUAUUCUACUACUUUUUCAGUGAAUACAGGAUUUAUAUAGCUAUUAUACUGCCCUGGGUUGAAAGCUGAUGGCAUUCCAGGAUAGGCGAAAUGUUGUGCCGGGACCUCUUAGGCAGACUGGGCUUGAAGUGGGCCAAAACUUGGAGGGUACAAGGGGUCAGCUAUUUCUUGUAAUGGGGGAAUUUGCUGGCUUGUACUUCCUUCAACUCCUUUUCCUUUAUUCAGGUUAUUAAGAGCCUCCAAAAUCUUGCUUAGCUCACCCUCAAUCUUCUUCUGGCUUUUUUUAUCUUUUCAAAUCUUUGGGAAUUUUUCUGCUCUAUUUGCCUUACUCUGAAUCUUGUGUUGAAUCGAUAGGCAGGAUUUUCGCUAGACGGAGUUAUCUUGGAACCUUGAGUACCAUAUCUUAGAAUCAGUAAAUUAACAUGAUCAUCACAUGGUUAUUUUGUAAGUGUAAUGAAUGAGAAUGCAAUGAAUGAGAAUGUAAUGAAUGAGAAAUGCAUGUAUGCAAAAAACAUUUGCCUCAAAACAGUAUUCAACUAAAAAAUUUCAUUUAUUCCAAAAAAUUUUGAUCUACAUUGAAUUUAUCAUCCUAGAAUUAUAGCCAUAAAAUUGUUUGAUCUGUUCAUACUGGGCCUUGGCUUCUUCUAUGAAGUUUAAGAGACGCUGUCCAUGUUCUCUUACUGGGGCCACCACUUGUCUUAAUGCCUCUGCCUUUUCUACCAUCUCUCUUCCCUUACGCACCCUUUUAUGAAUUUGGGUUGUUAAGUGCUCAAUGUAUUUCUGCCUCCCUAGGUUCUCUCUUUUACCACACCAGACUUGGUAUGAUAAUUCUCUAUGUUCUCUAACCAAUGCAGCAAUGUGGUCUCCUUGUUCAUCCAACCUUUGACUUAGCCCGCUCAAAUAACUGUUUAGCAUGUUAAUUUCUGCCUAUGCUUUAGUACUUUCUUUUUCCAACUCGACAUACUCUUGUUUCAAUCUUGUGUUUUCUUCAGUCAGCUCGACAAUGGUUAUCUCUUUGGCCCUUUCUCUCACACGUAGCCUCUUAUGCUCAUGGUGUAACCUUGCUAGAUCUUCAGUAGCUGUAUCUCGUUCUCUAACAAUCUUAUGAACUUUAACUUCAUAAUUUUCAGCUCUACCUUUCCACUGGGCUUUUUCUUCUUGAAGUUCUUGAAUCUCUUUCUUUAACUUGAUCUUUUUAAACUCAAAUUCUUUUGUUGCCAGCUCUAACUCUGAUGGUAUCUCUUCAAGCUUUUCUACUGUCGGUGGUUGAGAGACUUCAUAAGUGAAUACCAUUUCUUGUCUUCUCUUUGUUCUCCAAACCAAGUAACCUGGAGUGACUUUUUCAGUGAAUGGUCCAGGACUCACUCUUUGGGAAUUUUUUCAUGCUUUGAUCAUCCCAUUCAUCCUUUGAAAUGCUUUAGGCUCACUGUAAGAGAAAUCUAACUGAUGAAGCCCAUAAGUCAUAGGAAUAAACUGUUCUCCCCCCAAUUGUCUUCUCACUAAGAGCGGUGCAUAAUUUGUCACUUCUCAUAAACCCAGAAGUGGAACCACUGUACUAUCUCCACAUUGGUAUAACAUAGGCUUUCGAUUCAUCCAUGGGGCUAACCAUCUCACCCUAGCACCUUCCAACUUUUGCAAGAAAGUUAUCCAUUCUUGUUUAGACUUCUGCUUUGACCACCCACUUUCGUAGAACUCUUUGAUCAGAAAGUGAUUACGGAUAUAAAUCUUUGAGAAAGCACCAUUUCCUUGUUCAAAAUGGCUUUUCAUCCACACGUACAAUAGUUGUAUGCAUCCUAUGAAGCGCCCUCUAUUCCGACAACAAUAACUCAAAGAUCUGAUAGUCUCUGCUAAUAUUACCGUUGAAGGAUUACAUCCAUUGAUCACACUUUCAAAGAAAUCAACCACCGCUAUCUCAAUAUGUCCCAAAACUUUUGGAAAGAUCACCAGUCCAUAUAUAGCCAAGGCAAAUAUGUCUAACCCCCGUUCUUCAUUGACGUGUUGCAUCAAAAACUCAUGAAAGAACUUUCAAGGUAGGCAAACCUGUUCUUGUUUCUUCUUUGUAUGAGAAUCCACAACUUCCUUGUCUAUCCCCAUGAGUUACGCCAGACUUUUACGAAAUCCUGACUUAUAUUUUUUUACAUAUGUCAGGAGUCUUUAGAUGCAGACCCAAUAAGAUCGAAUAUUCUUCUAUGGUGGGAGUCAUAUCAGCUUCGUUAAAGAUGAAACACUUGUAUGCAGGAUCUCAGAACUGUGUUGCAGCUCUAAUUAGUUGAUCAUCAACAGCCACUGUUAGAAGGUGUGCUAUAUGCCUAUGCUUCUGACAAAAUUACCCUUGUCUUGACGGACUCAUCUUUUUCCAGAUGUCCACUAAAUCUUCUAAAUUGUUCUGUUUGAGGAGGAUGGAUGUUUCUUGAGACAAAGUAGACUCAUACCCAAUUGGCAAGCAAUCUCCCAUCUUUAGUUGAGUUUUUUCUGAUAGGGCCCUUACUUCAUUAGGUGUCCCACAGGGUGCUAACACUGAUGAAGAGCAAACUAGGCGUUCAUUGGUGUCCAUGAAAAAAAUUUGUUGAAGACCGUUUUUCAAGCAAAUGUUCUUUUAUGCAACUUUAUGAUAUGCGUAUGAACCAAUGCAAAAGAAAUAAGAAAAAGGUUAGUAUACCAGAAAAGAACAAAUAACUAAGUAAUUUUACACAUCACACAAGUAAAAGGGAUGAAUCCUAUGCUUUUGGUCAAUUCUAAAAGGGAAGAGUGAUGGCUCUAUCUAUAGGUUAGGCAUUCUUAAAGUUCACUACAUGCGGUUUUAAGGUCAGAGUCUAAAGGUUCUCAAAUUGUUCCUUACAUCCUUGUCCAUCACAGACUAGUAAGUACCCUAAUCCUCACCCAUUACAGGUUACAAGCGAAAAAGGUUCCAAUUUGAGUGGAGUAUUUCGCUAGCCACUGCGAGGCAUUAGACCUCCGAAAAGCAAUAGGUACUUUACUCCCUCCUAGAGGACGGAGUCGGGUGUAGAGCUCAUGUUAUGCACAUGCACAUGAAUGACAUAAUUAACAAAGUGAAUAAACAAUAAUACAUAUAUAUAUACAAAAAGGUUCAAUUUUAUUAGGCUUUUGGAUAACACAAAUUAUUUGCUAGCCUGACUCUCAAAGUCCCCAGUGGAGUCGCCAAGCUGUCAUAACGUCUACGUGUGAGGAAGGUUAUAGCACCCACAACGCCCAUCAAAAGAUGUACUAGCUUAAAGUGUUAUCCAAAGUCUUAAAAUUUAUCAAGUAAUUAAUUAUUAAAAAAAUAUUCUCUAAUUGAACUCUAAUACUUUAGCAAAAAAUGAGAAAUUUCCCUCACCUCAGAUAGCAAAAAAACUACUGUUCACAUGCAGAGGCUUCGUCGUCGAUUAGUUAAGAAAAAUCAAAUAUAAAAUCCAAUUAUAGAAAAGGAAUGAAAGAAUGAUUUUUUUUUUGUGUAGGGAAAAUUGAUACUUUCAACUUUUCCCCACAAACAUUUUUUUUUUGAAAAUUUAUUUUAAGGAAAAUUGAUACUUUCAACUUUUCCUCAAAAAUAUGUUUUUGGAAAUUUAUUUUUAAGGAAAAUUGAUACUUUCAACUUUUUCUCAAAAAUAUUUUUUUUUGAAACUUUGAUUUCCAAGAAAAAUUGAUACUUUCAACUUUUCCCCAAAAAUCUUUUUUUUUAAAUUUAUUUUUUUAAGAAAAAUUGAUACUUUCAACUUUUUCCUAAAAAUAUUUUUCGAAAAUUUUGAUUUUCAAAGAAAAUUGAUACUUUCAACUUUUCCCUAAAAAUAUUUUUUUUUGGAAAUUUUGAUUUUUAUUUAAAGAAAAUAGAAUAAUAAAAUAAAAAAAAUAAAAAAACAAAAUAAAAAUAAAAAUAAAAUAAAGAUAAAAAGAAUAUUAAAUAAACAUAAUCUAAUAAAUAAAUAAAAUAAACAAAUAAAUAAACAAAUAAAUGAAAAAAAAAAACCUGGAGCGGCUCGGAUCGAGGCUCGGCUCGGCUCGGUUCAAGGAAGAGAAAACGACUCAGGGGAGCGGCUUGGAAGCUCGGCUCGGCUCGGUUCGGCUUGAAGGAGGGGCAGCACGCGCGGGUCAGAAAAACGGUUCGACGCUCGGGUCGGGUCGGGUUCAGUAAAACGCGCGGAUCCUCUGGUUACUUAAGGCCAAAACGACGUCGUUUUGGAAGGGUAUAAAAGGCAAUCCCUUUCGUUUUUCGGCAGAACGCUCCUCCCCUCUCUCUCUCUUCUUUCCUUUUCCUCUCCCUUCUCUCUAAAAGCUGAAGAACACCGGUGUCGAAUUCUAGAAAAUGUCACCAGAAUCUGGAAAUUUCGUCGGAAGUUGGCCAGAAUAUCACCGGUUUCUGGAAUUCUUCGCCAGAAACUGGGCAGGUCACCGAAAACUUCAAUGUUCGUCGGAAUUGUUGUCGGAAAAUUCAAAUUUCACCGGAAUUUUCGUCGGAAUCUGGAAAUUUCCUAGAAAUUUUCAGAAAAAUUUUUCGCCAAAAAUUUCUAAAAAUUUUUUCUCACUCCCAGAACGCUCCUAAACUUUUCCUAGCUUCCUAUACGCCUCUUUUUCUCUCAAAUCAGUAGCUUUGCUUACUGUUUUCUCCCUUUUUUUUGAGUGUACCAAUCUGUUCCAGAGGGGGUCCCUUUUAUAGGGAUUGAUCAGGAGUUUCUGAUCAAUCCCAAUUCCUCUUUGGACGGGGAUUCAAUCUUUGAAUCCAAUUGGACUCUUUUGAUUGAAUCCUCAUUCCUAGUAGGAUUCUCCAUCUUUUAAUCCUAACCAUCCAAAAAAGAAAACAAAGAAAAAAAAAUAAUAAUAGUAAAAAAAUCAUAUACGGAUCAAGAAAAGAGAGAAAAAAAGAUUAUUAACAGAUAAUUAGGGACACAAUAAGAUAAACCAACCAAAAAAAAUAUUACAAGAAAAAAAAGAAAAGAAAAUAAUUAUAAUAUAAUAAUAAAUAUAUAAUUAUAUAAAUAUAAUACAUAUAAAUAUUAACAGAGAAAAUAAAUAAAUAAAUAAAUAAAGAUAUACAUAUAUUAAUAUAUAAUAAUAAUAAUGGAUAAUAAAAUAUGUCAAAUACAAAAGAAAAAAAAUACAGGAUAAAAUUGAAUUGGGCCUUACCCUUUUGGGCCAGACCCAAUUGAUCUGGGCCUGGACCUAAUUGGGUGUCUACAUUAUUCCAUCAAUUCUUUUUUUUUUUUUUACUUGAAUAAGGAUUUCGUCUUUAUAGUCUACAUAUUCCAUUUUUGAGGAUUUUUCUAGAAAGGUCAUUGCAACAGGUUCUUGAUAAGUAUUAUAAAAAUAUAAUCAUUUUCUACAUAUAUUCUGUUUCCAUCAAUAGGAAUUCUACUAGUGGGUGUUUUUGAAAUUAUUUCUCUGGCUUUUUCCAUGAGAAACUUUAAUAUUGAAAACCAAUGCUUCUAAUGAAUAUUUGGGAUGUUUUGUGAAUGCCAAAACACAUAAUAAAGAAUUAAUAGGCUAUUAUAAUUCAAAAAAACUCAACCAAAUGAAAUAAAUUAUAUUACUUUUGAAAAAGAAUUAUUAGUCAUAAAAAAUAGGAUAAGUAGAUUUCAUAUUUAUUUAUCACCAAUAUAAUUUAUUAUUAGAAUUGAAAUAAAGUAAUUCGAUAUUUUUUAAAAAAUAAAAAGACAAAAACUAAUCUACGAAGGAUUUGGCGGUACAAUUUUUAAGUCAAUAUGAUUCUUUUAUUUAACCUAUUUAAGGAACUAACAAUGUUAUUGAUGAUAUUCUUAGCAAACCUAAUGGGAGAUAGAGGUAGCCUUUUGAACAAAUAGGAGAAUGGGUUACUAUAAAAAAGAAGCUAUCUAAAUAAGGUUCCUCCUCCUUCAAUAAAAUUUCCAAAAUUCCUAAACAAGGAAUAUAAAUUCAGUCACUAGCACUAGUAUUUCAAUAGCCUAAUCAAGGAUUCUAUUUUUACCCUUCAAUUCCACCACAAGUAGUAAUGGAACCAUAUCAAUAUUCACAAUGGUCUCAAGAUCCUAAUUUUACCCCAGUUUCUUAUUCAAAUAUCAUUAAGAAAAUAGAAUCACUGUUAAAACAUCAAUAGCUAGAACCUUAUAAAAGAUAUUUAUAAUUCGGGAUUACCCAUUGGAUUAUAGUUUCAAGUUAAUGAAAUUUGGAAAGCUCAACUUCUCGGCAAUAGGUCAACUUUCAAGAAAAACCUUAUAAAGCUUUUUGAAUUAAAAUAUCAUGCAAUUAAUAUAAAAUAUCAUGCAAUUAAUUAUAUUAAACUCAUGCCAAAAUAAGAAUUAAAAAUAAAUUAACAAAGACAUCAUGCAAAAAUAUACCUUUUUUCCUCAAUCAACCAUUUAAAAUAAUAAAUAUGAUAAUAUAAUAUAUAAAAAAACCAAAAGAAAAAUCAAAGCAGAAAAUAAAUGAAAAAAAAGGGAAACCCGCAUCACGGGUCGAGUCGCCCAACUAGUUACAUGCGGGUUGCUAGUAGGUCAACUGUGUUUUCACGGGUCAAAGUUUUCUAAAAACGUCACCAUUUUGAUGGUGUAUAAAGGCAAAAAAAAAAAAAAGUUUUUUCUUUAGAAAGCCUUGGCUUUUUCUCUUUUUAGCUAAACUUUUUUUUUGUUUUCUUUCUAGAAAUUUAACAAGAAAAUUCAUCAAAACUAAAUUUCGACCACCAAAUCUAGAUCUCAGUGCCAAAAACUUCAAACAAUCAUCAGGAUAUUCAAACCAAAACCAAAAUAUUGCAAACCCAGAGAACGACAAUUACUUUCUCUUCCGACUAUCGUGAACUUGGCUAGAAAAUUUAAAUGUUCAAUCAAAAAAUUCAACAAAAAUCCAAAAAAAUAAAAAUUUUGAGAAAAAACCCAAAACACUAAAAAUCUCCAAAAUUCAUCAAAAAAAUCUAGAAAUCACAUAAACCCAAAAUUUCUUAGGAAAGAACCAAAAUCCAAAAUAAAUUAAAUCCCAUAACAAAACCUAGAUUUCAAACUUCAAAAAAAAAAUUCCAAAAACUUUCAGAAAAUCGACCCAAAUCCAAAACACAAUAAAAAACUCAUGAUAUUUUUUACAUUCCAAUUUAUUCCCCUCUUAUGUGAUUAUUUUGUGUUCAUAUAGGAAUUCAAUUCCUAUCAAAUCUGAAAACCAAAUGAAAUUGAUUAUUGAUUAGAUUUUAUGUGACUUAAUUUUCUAUAAGUUUUCUUUUGACACGAAGAUCUGUCUUUGAUUUUCCUUUUGUGAAAUCUAGUGAUUAAUUUGCAUAUCUGAUUCCCAUGAUUUUUAUAAAUUCCACGUUUUCUUUCCUUUUUUUAUUUUCUCUCUUUUUUUUUACUUUUAACCUUUUUUUUACUUUUUACUUUUAUUUUUUACUUUUGACCAAACUAGAUAAAAACAAAAAUAAAUCAAAAUUAAAAUUCUAGGCUUUUAUCUCGUUGGGCUUGAGGUUUUUCAAUCAAAUGCUCAUUUUUAAUCUUGAAAACAUUUUUAAACAAAAUAGGAUGUUUACAGUAAAGAUAUUAGUUUUAAUUAAAAUUUUUCGGGUAUUUUCUUUUAACUUUUUCUAUUUUGUUGUUUCAUGCUAUUUCCUUUUAUUUAAAAUUAUAUUAUGUAUUUCCUUACUCAAUGAUAUUUUUUUAUUGUAUUUCUUUUUAUGAUAUUUUAAAAUAUUUUAACUUUAUUUUUAUUUAAAAUUUUAUUUUAUUUUAUUAUUUAUUUGAUAUUUGUUUGUCAACAAAUCUACUCAGAUAUAAUAAAAUAAACAUAAAAGUCUCUGCUUGGUUGGCUCUAUUUUUGGCAAGUAUAUCAACAAAACAAUUUUUUUAUAUAUCCUUCAUCAAUUGAACUUGCAUUUUAUCCGUAAAACAUCUCAAGUUAUCUAAUAACACAUAUACGAAUGAAUUUUUUUUUAAAGACACAUAAAGAAUAACUUUAUUAUGACAAGAAUUUAAAAAUGAAUGGUCAUUUGAAAAUUAAUUUUCAAAAUAAUAUUAGAAAGUCAAGGCUAACAAUAGCUUGCAAGCCAUUCUUUAUGGCCUCAUAACUCAGUACUCAUGCAAGUGGUAUUGCAAAAUCUGCUUCAGAAACUAAAAAUGAAACUAUCGUUGUAGCAUUAAAUCAAAUAGGGGUGAGUAAAUGGUCGGUUCGAUUUGAAAAAAUCAAUAACUGACUUAACCGACUUUCAUUUAAUAAAUAAUCGAAUCGAUCGAAUAUUAUUAAAUAAUCGAUCAUAACCGAACCGAUCAAAAUCAGUUCGGUUCGGUCGGUUUGGUUAAAUAACCUAUUUUUUUAUCAUUUUUCUUCCUAUUAUUAAUAAUUAUUUAACUACAAAUUCAAUUCAAUAAAAUUUAAACUCUAGUAUUAUUCAAACUAAAUUACUAAAGAAUUUAAUAAUUUCAACAAUAUUUUACCAAAAAUAAAUAAAUAAAAAUAUUUAUCUCAAUUUUUUUAUUUUUAAUUAUUAGAAAGUCGAUUAAUUCGGUUAAUACAGUUAUCAAUUUUAAAAAUUGAAAAUCGAUCGAAUUAAUCAAUUUAACCAAUUUAAAAAACUGAUUAUAACUAAAACCGAAUAAGUCGAUCCGAUUUAAUCGAAUUUGCUCGAUUUUGAUCAGUCUAGUCGGUUCAAACCGACUUUUGCUCACCCCUAAAAUCAAACCUCCAAUACCUGUAACUUCAGGAUUCCCAAUAGGAUACACAUCUAUCAUUACUUUGAUUAAGAUAAUUUUUAUAUGAUUUCAAUUACUAUCCUUAAUUGAUUAAUUAAUGCAAUUUUUUCAAAAAAUAAUUUUAUACUUUUGUUAUUUGAAUGCCCCAUAUUCUUAAAUUAAAGUGUAUUAACUUCUUUUAAUCAAAUAUUUAUUGUCCUUAAUACUUACAUUGUUUGUCAUUUUUCUUAAUAUUUACAUUGUUUGUAAUGACAAAUAAUUUGAUUAAUCUUAAUUCUUACAUUGUUCUUAAGACUUACUUUGGUCUUAAUUUUUCUAAAUUUUGGUCAUUGUUCUUAAUUGAAAUGGGCAUAUAUUUGAAUCAAAUUGUUUGUUAUUUUUGUUAAUACUUGCAUUGUUAUGUUUCUUUGAUAAGUUAUUAACAAUUUUUCUUUAUUAAAAAAAAAAACAGCCGCAGUGAAUUAAGGGCAUCACACUAGUAUGUAUAAAUUUGGAAUCAUAAAGUUAAAUUAAAGAAAAUAAAACUUGAAAGACAACAAAUAAUGCGUAAUUGUUCAAUAUAUUACAUGCAUUAAAAUAUAUGCAUGUAGCAUUGUUUUUGUCCUAGACAUUCUCCGCAGACUAAUAGAAACAUUAAUUUUCAUUUCAUCAUGUGAAAAGGAUAAAAAUAAAUUUACAUAGAUAAAUGAUAUGCAUAAAUAUUUGUGGAGAAAUAAUCAAGAUCUUUAAUAUUGUAUCAGAUAAUAUUUUUAUUUUAAAAAAUGAUGUAUAUUGAUACUUGUUGUUUUUAGCAUAUUAUUUUGGGUCUUUCUAUUUAGUAUAAAUAUAUUUAUAAAUAUAUCUGGACUUACAUAAUAAUACUACUAACAAUAUGCAAAUUAUAUAUAUAAUAUUUUCAAAUAUCAAAUAAAUAAGUUUAAAAAUAUUUAAAAUAAUAUUAUCAAUUUAACAUGAAUUUUUAAAUAUUUAAUCUAAUCACAUGAUAUUUAAAUGAAUUUUUUUAUAUAAGAAUAUAUUAAGAUAAAAAAUAAAGAGAUGAAAAAGAAAAUAACUUUAUCUUUAGGAGUCUUAACACAAUUGCUUUUUCUUUUUCUUUUCUUUUUGAAAAAAUUGAAAUUGAUAUAAACCUUUGGUUUUAAAAAAUAAAGUGUAAAAAAUAUAAAAGUUACUCUAGAAAAUAGCGAGAUGAGGCUCAAGUAUCAACUUUGAAAGGUUUCAUUUUUUUUUAUUUUUUGAGCUAAUUUUUUUAAUUUUUAUUAAAUUAAAAAUAGUAAAAAAAAAGUUACAAAAUUGAAAAUCAAGUUUCACUACCAUGUAUCGACCAAAAAUUAUUAAUUAACCGAAAUUCAUCAAAAUCAACUAGAACCAACGAAAACAAUUGAUAUUAUUUUAUAUUAAAUUCGUAUAAAAAAUCACUCUUAAAUGUAACAUAUUUUAAUAUAAUUGAAGUGCACCUUCUAGUACAAUUGAUAUCAAAACAAAAUUAAAUAACUUUGAAAAUAACAAGAGAAAAGGGAAAUUUGAUUUUGAAUCACUCCCAAAAUGAACGACCUAACAUUAAAAAAAAAAGGUUAAGAAAUUCAAAUACCACCCUUUUUUGUAUUUUUUUUUUUUUUUGGAGAGAUUCACAAACCAUGACAAUAGGACUAGAACUAGCAUGUUAUGUUUAAGGUGGUCACCUUGAUAUUUUAAUUGAUGGAGCCCUACUAGCUUUUGCAUUUAAAAGUAGCUUAUGAUCUAAUUUUAAUGUUAAAUAACAAAAAAUAUGAUUUUUUAGUCUAAAAACUUAACUUUCAAAUUCAAAUAAAAAAGCUAUUAAAAAUGUGCUCUAGUAGUAAAAAUGUGUGUUGGAGCUAAAAAAUUAUUAUUAUAUUAUAUUUAUAUUUAUAAUAUUUUAUUAUUUUAUGUAUACAUUUUAGACAUUUCAAUUACUCACAUAUUAAUACACUUCACUUAAAUUUUUUAAUUAUAUUGUUUAAAUGCACUUUUUUCAAUCCAAUACUUGAGAAAAUUUUGAAAAUCUACAAAAUUUUGAGCUUUUGCUACCAAUCUUAAACUCCUAAAAUUUGAAAUGUUAAUUAUCCCUAAGUAAACAACACUAAGGAUGGCAAAUGAGGGAGACAGAUAGGUUUUUUCUUAUACCGAACUUGACCCGAUUUUAAUAGUUUUACUCAUUUCCAUUUUAUCCAGCUGUUGGAUUAUUAUUUUAAUAUCCAACUUCAACUAGGAAAAAAAUAUAAUUUGCAUUUCAUCAGAAAUUUAGUUUAGUACAAUCUUUAUAAAAACUAUUUUUUAAUAUAAAUUUUAUCUUAAUUAUAAAUAGUAUUUUAUUAAGUUCAUUUUAUAAAUUAACAUGCUAAAUAAUAAAUUAGUUAAUAUAAUAAAUAUAUAAAUAUAAAAUGAAUUAAAUAAUAAAAUAUAUCAUUUUUAUAUAUACUUGAACGUAAUGAAAAAACCUAGAACCAUCACUACAAUAAAUCUGACAUAUAGUGACACUUAAAAAAGCAUCGAUAAAGCCUUAAUAUCUGUCAGUAUAGCAUCAUAAACCCUAUACCAAAGGUCAAAAUAUGUAUUCAGACGAAAUUUUAACCGUCGAUAUAUCUUUUGUCGGUAUAGACCUAUAUUAACAGUUUUUAAGGUGUCAAAAUAGCUUACAAAAAUAUUUUUAUGGUUUAAGACUGUCAGUAAAGAUAUAUCUGUUGGUACAGCAUAUGUUGUAUGUUUCGCCGUUAUACCUUUUACUGAUGGUUAACACCCAUCAGUAUAGACUUAUAUGUUUUAAUUUUUCUUGCUUAUACCAACGGUUAAUGCCUAUCAGUAUAGCCUUUACCUAUACUGACACUUAAAGCCUGUCAAUAUAGGUAAAAAAUAUUUUAAUUUUCUCACCUAUACCGAUGGCUAGCGCUUGUUAGUAUAAAUUUAUAUGUUUUAAUUUUUCUGGCCUAUAUUGAUAAUUAAUGCUUGUUGUAUAGGUAUUUAAUUUUUUUUACCUAUACCGACGCUUAACAUCCAUUAGUAUUGACUUGUAUUUUUUAAUUUUCUUACCUAUACCGAUGGUUAGAGACUUUCGUAUAAAAUUGUAUGCUUUAAUGGAUAUACCUAUACCGACGAUUAAAGAUUGUUAGUAUAGACUUAUAUAUUUUAAUUUUUUUAUUAUAUUUUAGUGACUGUUAGUAUUGCCUAAAAUAUUCUAACGAUCAAGUACGUCAUUAUAAAUGUUAAGACGUUGGUAAAAUUUUUUAAAAAUUAUACUUUUAAUUAUUAAUAUUAAUUUAUUUAUAAUCAUAAUAUGAUAUGUUUUCAAAUAAAUAAAAAAAUACAAUAAAGUAAAAGAUAUUUAAUAACAUUAAAACUACAAGUAAAUUAUUUAUAAUACACAGACUUACUAUAAGUGAAAAACUAAAGUCAUUGUACCAAGUUGAUAAAACAAACAUAGAUAAAGAGUUACACUAUCUUACCCUGAAAAACACAAUCAUAAGUUUGUACAAAUAGACACCUAAAGACUUUUUUAUCAUCUUAAAAUUUCAAUAAUACUCUGAACAAGAUAAUAUUAAAAAAAUCUAUAAACGACCAAACAAUUGCAAAACCACCUCAAUAAGAAAAACAUACAUGCACCUAUUACAAGCCUUUUCCAAAAUCAAAAUGUUUUAAUUCAUACAAUAUAUCACAAGUCUUGAAAAAGUCAACAAGUGUAGCUACAUCAUAUAACUAACAAGCUCAUUGAACCCAGCUCAUUAACAGUAUUCAAUAUACUAAUCAAGUAUCACAAAGCAUAAUAGCCUUAUUUUACAAAGUGCAUUACAUUCAAAACAAAACAAAAUCUCCCUACAAACAUAAUGCUUCGAGUAAAUGAACCACUUUCUAAAAUAAAUGAUCUCAUCAUAGAUUUCUAAAAAGAAGCAUCUGCAUAGUAUAAAAAAAUCUAAUUAGAAUUCUUGUAAAUUAUCUUAUAUAUACAGAAAGAAUAAGGUAAUCAUCUAUUUAUAUACUAGUAGAAAUAAUUUUAUAAGCAUCUUAUUCAUUCAUAUAUAUAGAAGGUAAUCAUCUUUUUAUAUACCAACAAAAAUAAUAUUAUAAACAUCAUAUUCAUUAGUGUAAUGCAUGAAUGAACAAUAAACAACCUAAUUUGCAUGUGUAAUCUCCUCAUUCUAUUAGUUUAAUUUCAAAUAAUAACUUAAUGAAAUCAACCUAAGAUUAUUUUAGUCACAGAACUAUCAUUAAACAAAUAUUUUCACUAUAACAUUCAAGUUUACAACUACAAAGCAUGCUUACAUCAUAAGCAAGCCUUUUCAAAGGAAAAAAAAAAAAAAGCAAGAAAGCUUUUUCAAGGGAAAUAGAAUAGGUUUUAAAUCAUAUUGUAAUUUAAUGAUUAUGAAAAGACGACGGGUAAUGUUUUAAGAACACAAUUACAUUAUUCAAAACCUAGAUUCAAAAUUGAUUUUGGCAUUCUAUCUAAGAAACAAGUAUUAAGCAAAGUAUUUUCACAUAUAUAUCAUGUGAUGAUGAGUUUACCAUUUUCAUUCUCAUUAGGUUAAUUAUUUGAAUUUGAAAAUGACAAUAUGACAAUUUACAUAUAUAAAAACUAAAAUAGAUGUUAUAUAUACUUCUCUAUUCACCAUGUGAGUAAUAGUAUUCAAGAUAUCCAUAUUCUUAUUAAAAAAUUAUCUUUUAAGUAUUGAUAAGACAAUACUUAAAGUUUCUUUCAUGUCUUUAAUUUUGGUCUUCAACUUUUAUACCUCUUCCUUAUGCUGAUCCAAUUCAAAAAAUAAAUAACCAUAUUAUUUAGAUGAAGUAGAUAUUGUAUCCAUGCAACGAACACGCCCUUUUUCUCUCUGGUCCUUUAAUAUUUGAAUAAAUAUCAUCUUUCCAUGAACUUUUUUCAGAAUUCUGAGUACUAGUUUUGCUCAAACCUUGUUUUAUGAGUUCUUAAAAUUGUAAACAAAUAUUUUAGUAUAAAGAAACAAAACAUAAGUAAAAGCAAAUAAGAACUAAAUUAAAUACCAUAAUUUUAGUUGUCUUGUUAUUCAUAACACUUUCAUCUUUACAUGUACGAGAAAGAAUAUGCACCUCAGUACGUGAUGGUAAAAUUUCAUUAGCUUCUUCUUUCUACAAAGGUACAAUAUUAAUUAUUGUAAUGACAAAAUCGUACACAUAAAAAGCAAACUUCAUAUUCAUUUAACUGAGUGUGACAAGAAAAAUUGAUAUAUGUACAAAGGUUUGAAUGAUCCUUGAGAAUGAUUUUGUUCAUGUGUAAUGAGGCUUAUCUAAUUUUGAGUGAUUUAUUUUGUUUGUCUCACUUUAUUCCUUUACACAAAUGAAUAAGAAAACAUAUAUUAUAAUAACUUUAUAAUUAUUAUCAUAGUGUUAAAACAAAGUAAAUAGUAUCAUUUGUAAACAUUUAUCUUCGUUUUAUUAGUCAACCAAUGUACAACAAGAAAUAGGAGUUGACUUUUGUCUACUCAAGAAUCAUCAUCUUUUGCAGCCAUUUCCUCGAUGUCUUAUGUUCAUAAUAAAAUUUAGACUUCAAUUCAUUCUUCCAUUGCCGCCACUUAGCACCCAUGUUUCUUAAGACUUAUUUUUUUAUAUAUUUCUUCAUCAACGAGCUCAUCAGAAUCAGAUUUGUGAAAUUCAAACUUUGAUUACAAUUUGAAAGAGGUAAUUGGAAAGAAAAUGUCAAUAUAUGUUAUAUGAAUUGCUACUAUUAACUAGAAACUAAAAGAUUAUUGUCAUGGUAUUAGCUAGCAAAUAAAAUAUUAUCAUAUUGAUACCUCUAAUAUUUUUUACAUUUCUUCCUUCUUAUCAUUCGAUAUUUCAUGCCAAUUUGUAUAAUUAAUUGGUGCAAAGCUAGGCAUUCUCCCCAUGCUACCAAUGAAUCAAGUUAAAUAGCAAGAUUCAUCACCGAUAGGUAUAGCAUCAUCAUUAACCUUAACAACAACAUGUUCCCUUUUCUUUCAAAUCCCAAAUAUCAGCCAUAUGUGUAGGAUCUCAAGCUUUUUUAUGUUGAACAUUUCUUAGAUAGAAAAAUUACAUGUAAAGAAAGUAAUUAAAUUCAUUAAAAAUUGUAUUUGUAUAAUAUUAUAACAUAUAAAGAAUUGUACUAACAGAAUAUAGUGUUUUUAUACUUGAAUUAUGUUCAACUUGAUCUUCAUUAUUUGCAGAUUAAGAAAUUGGAUCUUGAGAUUCUUGUAAAGGUUUAUGUUGUGAAGCUUUUGGAUCUACAAGCACAUAUUAUUCUUUAGAUUAUGUUUGCAAUUAAGAACUAGAGGCACGAUAUGCCCUAAUGAUAUUCGAUCGUCUAUGUUUUGACAUUUUAAGUCUAAUAAUACACAAUAUAUUAGUAAACUUGCCAUCUUAAGUCUAAUAAUACAUAAUAUAUUAGUAAACCAUGUCUUACAUUGCAAAACCUUAAAAACAAAUUAAACUAUUACAUAGAAUUAAAAAAUCCCUAGCUUGUAUGUUACCCACAUCAAUAUUCAUAGCUCUUUCAGACAUCAUAUCAUGUAAUAAAUCAUGAAUGUCAGGACCUUGCCCUCUUUAUUCAUCAUUAGUUAUUUCAGUAUGUAAACAUAUAUCCAAGACCUCCUUGUGAAAUACCCAUCGAACAUAUCAUUUAAGAAAACCUUGACAUAUUAUGUGAACAAAUGCAUCUCCCCUACAAACUCUAAAUGUGUUGACACAUUUAAAAAAAAGGACACCAAAAUUUUUCAGCUUCAUAUGGUAUUGUAAAGGCAAAGUUUAAAAAACUAGUGACUCAUUUUAUGUAUUCUUCACUAGCUCUUGAUGUAAGAUUUAUCCACGCCUUAUCCAUAAAAUAUAAGAUGAUUUACCCUAGUAAUUAAAUUAUGUUUAAUUUAAAAUUUAAAUUAAAAUAAUAGCAUUUAAUUUAAACACUAAAUAAAAUUUAACUAUGUAAGCAUAAUGUAACAUUUUCAUUAAGAAUAAUAUUUCAGAUGUACCUUUAUAAUUAAACUUAUGUAUUUUUAGGAAAAGCACAACCAAGAUCAAUUUUGGUUGAAUAAGCAAGAGAGAGGCAGAGGAUAGAAGGAAAGUAACUCACAAUUGUAAAAGGACAAUUUGGGCAGCUUGUAAAAACUAUGUAGAAAUGAGGGAUUUUUGUAAGGAAAAUAAAGUUCUAAAGCUUGAAAAUUUAAACAAGGAUUUUAUCUACAAAGUUAAAAAGAUCAAAGGCAAGGGAAAGUGAGAUGAGAUAAGUUUCAAGCAAAGUAAGGAUUGAAAUGUAAGGUAAGGAUGGUGGAAACAAAAUUUUCACUAUUUUUGUUUUAAUAAGUUUAGAUUUUUUAAAAAGGUUUUUAUUUCCAAGACGUGAGAGCAUAAGGUAAGGACAAUGGAUUAUUGAAGGCAUUUUUUGUCAAAAAACACCUCGAAUAAUCUUUAGAUAAGGGAUUAUUCUCUUUAAUUUUUUAUGAGGAAUUAUUUAAGGCAUUUUUUACAAAAAAUGCCUCUAAUAAUUUCCUUCACUUUUUAGGCGGGGAUUAAUCAAGGCAUUUUAACCUGAAAAAUAUAUUGAAUAAUCCCUUAUAAAAAAUUAAGUAGGGUUAUUGAAAUUGUUUCUGGUCAAAAAUGCAUUGAAUAAUCCUAUUAGAUUUUUUAUGAGUGGAUUAGUGAAUGCGUUUUUGGUCAAAAACACUUUCAAUAAUCCCCUCUUAUUUUUAUGAUGGAUUAUUGAAGGCGUUUUUAGCCAAAAAAUACUUUGAAUAAUCUUUACAAACUAUUGAAUGGGAUUAUUGAAGGCGUUUCUAGUUAAAAUAUUUUGAAUAAUUCGUAAAUUAUUUAAGGUAUUUUUAGCCAAAAACACCUUUUAUAAUCUACGAAUUAUUCAUUCAAAGAGGAUUAUUGAUGGUGUUUUCUAUCAAAAAUACCUUCAAUAAUUCAAGCUUUUUUUUUGGAAUAUUUAAAGCGUUUUUGCCUAAAAAACGCAUUAAAUAAUUUCCUUCAAUUUUUAUGAUAGGAUUAUUGAAGGCGUUUCUAGCUAAAAAUUCCUUGAAUAAUUCAUAGAUUAUUCAAGACAUUUUUGGCCAAAAAUGCAUUCUAUAACCCAUGAAUUAUUCAUUCAAAAGGGAUUAUUAAAGGCAUUUUCUGUCAAAAAUACCUUUAAUAAUUUUAGCAUUUUUUUAUAGAAUAUUCAAGGCAUUUUUACCCAGAAAAUGCCUUGAAUAAUCUCCUUCAAUUUUUAUGAUGGGAUUAUUAAAGGCAUUUUUAGCUAGAAAAUACCUUGAAUAAUCUAUUACAAAAUAUUAAAUGGGGUUAUUAAAGGUAUUUUUGACUAAAAAUGCCUUGAAUAAUUCGUGGAUUAUUCAAGGCAUUUUUCACCAAAAAUGCCUUCAAUAACCCACGAAUUAUUCAUUUAAGGGGGAUUAUUCAAGGCGUUUAUAGUAAAAAACACGUUGAAUAAUCCCUUUCAAUUUUUAUUAGGAGAUUAUUAAAGGCGUUUUUGCCCAAAAAAUACCUUUAAUAAUCCCCUCAAAAAAAUUUUGUAUGGAUUAUUGAAAGUGUUUUUGACCAAAAAACACCUUCAAUAUGCUAUGCAAUUUUUUGUUAGCCAAUAGUUUUUUUGUUUUGAGCCUAUACUGACGGUUACAUUAAUAACUGUCAGUAUAUAACAUAUUUAUACUGACAGAUAGGAUAAUAAUAUACCAUCAGAAAAAGUUUAUUUAUAUUGAAGAUUAAACAAAGUGUUGGUAUAAAUAUGGUAUAUUUUGAUGGUAUUAAAAAUCCAUCAGUAAAAGUCUCUUUUACUAACAAAAUUUAAUCGGCGAUAAAUAAUCUAUACAAAAAGUUUUAUGUAAGGAUUAUUGAUGGUGUUUUUUGUCGAAAACGUCUUCAAUAAUCCCUCUCCAAAAUUUUAUGAAUGGAUUAUUGGUGUUUUUGGACAAAAACGCUUUCAAUAAUCCCAUUUAAUAUUUUGUAAAUUAAUAGUUUUUUUGUUUUGAGCCUAUACUGAUGGUUACAUUAAUAAUCGUCAGUAUAUAACAUAUUUAUACUUAUGGAUAGUCAUAUAUCAUCAGAAAUAGUUUAUUCAUAUCUACGGUUAAAUAAAGUGUUAGUAUAAGUAUAAUAUAUUCUGACGGUAUUAAAAAUUUAUAAGUAAAAAUCUCUUUUACUGACAGAAUUUGACUGUUAGUAUAACCAAGUAUCAGUAUAUGAAAAAUUUUUGUAGUGCAUUUCUGACUUCAUUUGACUCUUUUUAAUAAGCAUAAAUACAAAAAAUUAAAAACAAAAAUAAAAAUAAAAUAUUAUUUAAAAUUUUAUCAUUCUAUUACAAUUAAUUAAAUUUUUAAAUAUUUAUUUUUACUUGAUUGAAUUAUUGAUUAGACAAAAAUUAUAUGCUAGCCCUCAAACAUCUAUUAAUGAUCGUUAGUCAUGCAACACGUAUGGUCAACUUUAGGGUGUGAUCGAUCGAGUUCAAACUGAUACAGUAUUAAACUCGAGUUUAAGCUCGAUUCAAAAUUUAAGGCUCGAAACUCGACUCGAACUCGAUCGAGUUUUAUUUUUUUAGCUCGAGCUUGACUCGAGAUAGAAAUCGAGCUACUCGAGCUUGAUCGAUUAGGCUCGAUUAACAUGUAAAAAUAAGCUCAAUUUUUAUAUUUGAUAAAAACUUGAUUAUUUGUGCUCAAGUUCGAGCUCGAGUUUAAGAUAUUUUAUUAAUUAAAAUAAUAAAAAUAUAUUAAAAUAUAAAAAUUCGAUUAGGCUCGCGAGUUACUCGAGUUAAGUAUAAGAAUAUUUGAACUUGACUCAAUCGAUGAGUCAAGUUACUCGAGCUCAAGUUCGACUCGAUAAUAAUCAAGUCGAAUUCGAGUUUUAUUCGAAUCGAACUUAAAUAACUUACGAGUACUAAUAUAUCAUUUACACUCAUAAUCAACUUCACGUUUAGUCUAAAAGUCUAAUUUAAAUUGAUUAUAAUAAAAUAUUAAAAAAUUUGAUAAUAAUUUAAUUUUAAUUUUAAUUUUUAAUUUUUAAACCUUUUAAAUAAAUUAAAAACAUGUCUUUGACUCAGACAUGACUGUUUAAAAAUUAAUAAAAUUUUUAUUAUUUUAUCUAAAGGUAAUAGAUGCAUCACUAACUAAAUCGAUGAUUUUUAACAAAAAAAUCUAUAUUAAUAUUUAUUAAAUUACUUUUAGAUUUUUAAGUAAAAUUUAUUUAUUUUUAUAUUUAAUUUAAAAUUAUUAAAUUUAAAUUAUUAGUUUAAUUAAAAAUAUAUUAUUCAUCUUUAAAUUGAGUAGUGAAAACUUUUAAUAAUUUUAAAGUCAUAAAAAAAAUUUUAUCUCAUGAGGCAUUCAGCAUUUGGAGAGUUAGUGAAAUUCAAUAACGUAAUUCCCUCCUCCACCAAAAUAAAUGCAGUAGAGUGAAAUUCAUAAUAAAGUAGAGUGAAAUAGAAACUUCAAAUAAAAACCGUCACUAUCAAAUCCAGACGAGUCACGAGACGAAUGUGAAUGGUAUGGGUGAUUUUCCAAACCUAACCAAGAAAAGUGCUUUCGGCCAAAAAAGAAAAAAAAAAGAAAAUGUGCCUCAACGUCAACGGACAAUGCACUGCCAUCACUAAAAAAAAAAUAAAAAAGAGCGGUGCCCAAAGAUGAUAAAGUGGAAACAUAAGUCGAUAAUCACCACAAGACUCUAAAAGGGCGGAUCUGAUCAAAGAGAAAGAGCUUCCAUCUUCAUUUUUAAGCCACUUUAAGGUCUACGCUUUCACACACAGAUCGGGUUGUUAGGAGAAAGAUGGUUGAAGCUUCUUUUGCUUGUCGUGUUUAAAACGAGUCAAGUAAGGGUUUUUUUUUUUUGUUCAUUUUAACCGAAAAGAUUUUACUUUCUUUUUCUCUCAAAAGUUUCGCAAACUAAGUGGGUUGUAAAUGAAUUUCACACGGAGAUAGCAGAGAGGUAACAGCAAAAGUAUCAAGAGACUGAGCGGAAUAUAUACAUAUUGAGAAUUUUGAGAUGGUUGUGGUGGGUGGUUUUGGUAGUCGUGUUUCUGUUAGAAUGGUGCCGUGCCAAUGAGGGUUGUCAGGAGAAAGAAAAAUUGGGUCUGCUCAAGCCUUUCCCAUUCACAACAAUCUGAAUUUUAUAUUCUCUAAAACUUGAAGAGGAAGAAGGAGAUCUAAUUAUUCAGAUUGUUGCUAAUGGGAAAGGGUUGAGUGCGAUGCUAGUAGCAGACAAUAGCGUUUGAUCAAUCUUGAGUUGCUUGAUUUGGACUAUAAUCUCCUCAACAGUACCAUAUUCUCAUCCCUUGUGGCUUUCUCAAAUCUGAAGUAUUUCAGUAUACAAGGCAACAACCAGAAAGGACCAGUAGUUAUUAAAGGUAAGAACUAAGAAAAGCUACCCUUUUAUUUUGGCUGAGUUGGAAUGGUUUCUGUAAUUUUUUUAGUGAACGAUUUAUGAAUUUUCAAGUCUUUUUUGAGAUAUGGGAGAUGCCCUGACCUGAAGGCUCCUCUUUUAUACUGAAUUUUGGUUUCUUUUCUACCAAUAGCCAUUAGUGAUAUAGUGG
rnacentral:lncRNA from 1 species